rnacentral:rRNA from 1 species
GGGAGGCAGCAGUAGGGAAUAUUGGUCAAUGGGUGAGAGCCUGAACCAGCCAUGCCGCGUGCAGGAAGACGGCCUUCUGGGUUGUAAACUGCUUUUAUCUGGGGAUAAAAAGCCCAUGCGUGGGACAUUGAAGGUACCAGAUGAAUAAGCACCGGCUAACUACGUGCCAGCAGCCGCGGUAAUACGUAGGGUGCAAGCGUUGUCCGGAUUUAUUGGGUUUAAAGGGUGCGUAGGCGGCCUGUUAAGUCAGUGGUGAAAUCCAACAGCUCAACUGUUGAUGUGCCAAUGAUACUGACAGGCUUGAGUACAGACGAGGUAGGCGGAAUUGACAGUGUAGCGGUGAAAUGCAUAGAUAUUGUCAAGAACACCGAUAGCGAAGGCAGCUUGCUAGCCUGUAACUGACGCUGAGGCACGAAAGUAUGGGGAUCAAACAGGAUUAGAUACCCUGGUAGUCCAUACAGUAAACGAUGAUUACUCGAUGUUGGCGAUACACAGUCAGCGUCUUAGCGAAAGCGGAUAAGUAAUCCACCUGGGGAGUACGGUGGCAA